GGCGUUGGUUUCCCUUUUUCUUGCAGACUCUUGUCCGGUAUCGCAAUGUCUUUUCCCAAUCCUUUCAGUAGGUCUUCUUCGUAUGCACUCAGAAACUUGUUCUUUUCCUCCACUGAUCUGAUCUUGGUCUUUCUUCCUUUAAAGCUAAAGGAUAGACCUUGGGGAAAUUCCCACCUAAAGAGAAUUUUAUUUUUUCUCAACAAGUCCACCAGGUCUCCAAAGUCCUUUCUUAAAUCAAGAAGGUGUUUUGGUAUGUCUUUAAAAAUUUCAACUUUUGAUUGUAUAAUUGUCAAGGGUUUUUCGUAAUGUAAACCCAAAAUUUUGUCCCUUUCUUCUUUGGAUCGAAGAGUAAUCAAACAGUCCCUUAUUUUGAUCUUUCUUCCUCCUUUCCCCAGUCGAAAGGCCCUCACAAUCUUAAAAUCCUCUUGUUUCAAUUCCGAUUUCCAAAAGUCCAAAAAUUCUUGUGUCAAAAAGUCUAUCAAAGUACCUUUCUCCAACUCAGGAACAGCUCUGAUUCUAAGAUUCGUUUGUUUGUCUUUCAGGUCAAUCAUAGAUAACGUUAACUUAUGUUCUGCAAUCUCUUUCUGUAAGUCUGGUACUUUUUCAGUUUCCAACUGCCCCAAUUUAAACUCUACAGCAGCAGUUUUUUCCUGUAUAGACUUUGAGUCUUGCAGCAGUUUCUGAAUAGAUUCCGUAUUGCUAUUUACUUUUUUCUCCAAAUUACCUAAUGUUUCUGUAUUUAGGUCAAUUUUCCUGUUUGCAAUAUCCACUUUCUGAUUGGUCUCUUCCACCUUCCUGUUCGUUUCCCCCACUUUUGUAGUUAACUGCUGCAUUGAAUCAUUAAUCUUAGACAGAGCACUGGCUAAAAGCUCCUCAGACAUUCCACCAGACUUAGAUUGUAUUGCCGAUGUGGGCAAACCAGCAGAUGAUUGCCUUCUAUGUGUCCAAGGUUUCCCUGAUCUCAAGGUUGACUGGUCCUUGUAACCAUCAGCCAUAACAGAGUGAAGGUCAAAUUACUUUCCCACGUCUGGUCUUCCUGUUUAUAAUUGGAAAAUUCCUUUCCUUUCCUGCAAUUGCAGAAAGUCCCACUAGAUGGACACUGUUACCACCUAGCAAGUUACUGUCUUUUUAGAACAACAAGGAAAAGAUACUAAGUAAAAGAAAAAAGUCCAAAGUAAAAGACACAAUAUAGCUUUCCAGUCCUUUCCAAUCUUUUCCUAGUAAAAUUGGCCACUAUAUAUCUCCUUUGCAGCCAGCAGGCAGCUUUAGCAGCUUUGACAGCUUUGACAGCUGAGUGACAGAUCACUCAUUUAAUCCUUCAAUUUAAACAAUCCAGUAGAAUCAAAAGUCUUUCCCUUAACUCUCCUAAGGGUAGAUCCCUCCAAAGUUCUCAGGUCAGAAAGAUACACUUAUUUCAAUUCAGCUUUCCCACGUUUAGCUCCAAAUCUCUUUGCUUUGUUCUUUAUACAAUGCAGUGAAGCGGACUUCCUGUUUACGCUUCCACCGCGGUAGCCAAUUCAGACGUUUUUAAACAGCUUUAAACUUUUCCGCCUUUUCACAAAAGUUCCCAAUUGAUUCAAAUCUUGCUCUUUUAUCCAAUUCUUUUACUCACGGUUAGUUUUUUAAGUCCAAAUGUCCCAGGAAUAAGUCAGCGCUCUCCAGCAACGGCAACGCGGCUUCACUCAGUGAGAGCAGCGAUCCGCUCGCAGCACCGCGCUUCUUCCCCGCUCCCUUCCGGAGCCUCGAAAAGGCUUCCUUUCGGGUUGGGGGGGGCGCUUCAAGGUGCCCGCCGAGCCUCCACGUUCGCAGGCGUCCGCGCCUGCGAUUUCUAAGGGUCCCCGCUUCGCCGGAGCGCACAGGACCCGAUCUCUCACUGGGCUACCCCCUCCGAAGUUCAAAGGAGGUCCGCCAUUGCUGCUGGCACUGACCGGAAGU
rnacentral:lncRNA from 1 species